AAUCGUUGGUGGCGUGACUUCCCAAAUUGGGCGGAAGCCGCACGCGCAUAGUUAUUGUAUGUUUCAGUGCCAAACCCGCCCUUCCUCGGCGGGUUUUUUUAU
rfam:Providencia rettgeri DSM 1131 genomic scaffold Scfld0, whole genome shotgun sequence.